GCGCUCGAUUCGGCAGCCCAUAUACUAACAUUGGAAUGACACAGAGUAGAUUAGCAUGGCCCCUGGGCAAGGAUGACAAAUUCGUGAAGCGUUCCAUAUUUUU
ensembl:snRNA U6 U6 spliceosomal RNA